rnacentral:tRNA from 1 species
GCGGGCGUAAUUCAGUGGUAGAAUACCAGCUUCCCAAGCUGGGUGUCGUGGGUUCGAAUCCCAUCGCCAGCU